CGGGCGUGUUCCAGCGCGACGGCCCCAGGGGCAGGGGAACAACCCGGCCCCCGACUGAGCCCCAAGGAGCGCAGGGCGGUGCCCACCCCCUCCCCUCCGCCGGCGGGACCGAGGAGGGAAGCGCGGGCAGCAGCAGCGGGUGAUCUACAGCCGGUUCCUCGGCCCCCGUUCUACGCCGAGCUCGGUACCGGCCAGAAAACCGGGGGGGGGGGAGGUAAGCCCAAACUCGAACCUGAAGAGCGCCGGAGCCGCUCCCGACGGCGCGCUUACCUUGCAUAAAACUUCGCUCAGGUCGAAGAUGGUGGGCGACACCAGGGCUGUGGACAUCUUCGGACAGCGAGGGGGGGACGCGGGUGCGGCCGCGGCACACGGACACGAGGAGUCGCGGCGUGGGUAAGGCAGAGCCUCGGGCGCCCGGCGCGCAGCCUGCCUCCCCCCACCGCCGCUCCCAGCCCGCCGCCGCUUCCAGCGGGCUCGGUGGAAAGCUCAACUUAUAAAGUUUCGGACUUACCCCCGGGAGGAGGAGCCGGCGACGGGAGGAAAGGGGAGGAGGGGGGAGAAGGGCAGGGUGAUUGACACCGCGACUGAAUCACCCCGGCGGGCGGGGCCGGAGGAACUUUGAGUCGCAGGACCUGGACUUUGAGCUGGCGGCUGAUCUUUUUCCCCUCCUUCGGUCUUCAAGAACAGCCAAAAUAACCGAGAGGAACGCCCACAGGCUCCAGCUAUUCCAGAUUUCUGACUUUUUUUAAUAGAUAUAUUAUUAUUUACUUUAAGGAGCAAGCAGGUUCCUCGAAUUUCCUUCUCUUUCUAGUUUCUUCUUUUAUUUUCCUUGGCUUGGCCAGAAGUAACCAGGAGAGAGACCAGCCUAUUAUUUUCUGCAGUUGUUUACUCAUUCUGUAGAUGGUGCUUGUUCCCAGGGCUCCGAGCCUCUCUAUAAUUAAACCCAUUUUAAUUGUUAGGUUAGAAACGUCAUUUCAGGGACUUUCCAAGAGUUACCGAGAAAGCCAGCUGAGAUAACUAUUUCUCUCCUUAGUCGCUCCCAGCCUGGUUUUCAACUCGGUCCCUCUCCAUUGGCCGAUCAAGGUGCAAGGCUGAGCAGAGGGCUCUGUGCGGGACAGUCCCCACCGCUUUUGCAUUAUUUGCUUUCCCGUGUGCCUUUGUUUUGGAAACUUGGGGUUUAAAGUUGCGCAUUUCCACGGAUCAAGCAGCGAAAGCUGAAGCCGAGAAGGAAUUUUUUUCCAGUGAUUUAGCUUGGCAAACCCCGACUCCAUGGUGGUCUGCUUUGCAUUGGCUGCGCACAUGCUCAGAUCAGGAAUUUAGCUACUCGCCCCACCUCGUGGCUAAAAGUCAGAGCCCUCCGGGCCAGAGUGGGAAUUUGUGUGGGCAUGAAUUCACACUGAGCAGAGGAAUGAAAAAAUCGGGGCCUUGCACCUUCCGCCAGAGACAUGCCAACACUUUGAAAGAUGCAACUGAACAAAGAUACAUAAAUGAAUAAAAUGAAAGUAAAUUCUUAAA